CCUACGGGAGGCAGCAGUGAGGAAUAUUGGUCAAUGGACGAGAGUCUGAACCAGCCAAGUAGCGUGAAGGAUGACUGCCCUAUGGGUUGUAAACUUCUUUUAUAAAGGAAUAAAACGAGGCACGUGUGCCUUUUUGCAUGUACUUUAUGAAUAAGGAUCGGCUAACUUCGUGCCAGCAGCCGCGGUAAUACGGAGGAUCCGAGCGUUAUCCGGAUUUAUUGGGUUUAAAGGGAGCGUAGAUGGGUUGUUAAGUCAGUUGUGAAAGUUUGCGGCUCAACCGUAAAAUUGCAAUUGAUACUGGCAGUCGUGAGUACAGUUGAGGUAGGCGGAAUUCGUGGUGUAGCGGUGAAAUGCUUAGAUAUCACGAAGAACCCCGAUUGCGAAGGCAGCUUACUAAACUGUGACUGACAUUGAUGCUCGAAAGUGUGGGUAUCAAACAGGAUUAGAUACCCUGGUAGUC
rnacentral:rRNA from 1 species